CAAAUCCAAAGAAUCCGGGAGCCAACGGCUGAUAGGUGUACGUGCGGAAGUAGGUGAGCGGGAUUUGCUGCAGCAUUGGACCACCACUGGGCUCCCUGGUUUCCCUAUGGACACAGAAGGCGUUGGACAGCGAGGAUCCGGCCAGGAUUAGAGUGAUCUAGCGGUGGAUGGAAACAAGAUACAACAAUGAGUACACAAGGCGACACACAUUAAGGUUGGAUCUUGGAUCACUUGUCUGGUGGUUGGACAGCUGCCAUCUCCGCCUCAGCAUCAAUGGAGCCAGCUAUUUUCCAUUUCAAACUCCAUCUUCGUGGCCCAUCAGCUGUCAAAACUGGCAUUAAUCAAAACACUCUUAACCGAUUCCCUUUGUUGCCCUGGCCUGGAAGUGAAUUUUUCGGGGAUUCUUUGAUGGGCGAUGGACGAUGGGCAGGCAUACGCCACACGGAUAAAAAAUGAUAUGGUAUCUUGGUGAGUGAUUAUGAAAAUUGAAAAUAGUAACAAACCGCAAAGGACGGCAUGUAAUAUUAUCAAAAAUAUCCCAUUAUAUAUUCCACCCAUCCAAAAAUGAUAUAAAAUCACACCAUAUCAAUGUUUUUCUUUUUCCUCUGUGCAUGGCUCAGUUUUCUGUUAUGACCGCUGUCUGUUCUGGGCCAACUUGUUCUUGUUUCUCAAGGGCCACAAGUGUGCAACAAGUGGAACAUUCUGACCAAAGAACGGGGUUAAUAGCCUUUGUAUCUGCCUUUUUCUUUGCCGGACGGACAGCUGCAGGCGGUCGUGAGUUCUCACUUUGGAGGGAAAAUGGGGGAAAAAAAAAGGGGAAAUGGAAAUGAAAAUGGAAAAAUGAUUGAUUAGCCCUGUAUAUCCCGGCUUUGAUCGAUCAAUCGGCGCUUGCAUGUGGCCAGUUGUAAAACUCGUACUAAUUACGGACGAGGAGAAUGCGUUUCUGGAGGCGGAACAGGGACUCCAUGUGGGAUCUUUGUGUGAUCUCCAGCCGGGUGGAAAGACGAGAAAUUGCCCGGGCGAAAUGAAUCGUAAAUCGUAAGUCGUAAAUCGUUUUCCCAUCCAUCCAUCCAUCGAUCCAUUCAUGGAUGACGAUCUGUUCGGAUCGGAACUUUGAUUCCUAUUGCGAUUGCGUGACGUGACAGCAUUAUUAGGUCAGGAUUCCUGGCCUGGCCUGAAUUAAUUCGCUUUUAAUGGGCUCUAAUGCGUUUUAAAUUCCCCCCUCUGCCGGCCCUCGAAUGUCAUAAAUUCCACACAUCCAUCCCGGGUAUGAAAGCAAACCCAACUCGUGCCCAUAAUUAACAGCCAGAAAUAUUUGGACAAUCAUAAAAAAAAGAAGAAAAACACAGACACGCAGACAGACAAAGCCACAGACCCAAAAGAAAGGCAUCUAAAUCAUAGUGAUCCGGGGACUCGGGUAUAGAAGAUGCAUUUUUGACACCGACAAUUUGUUCUAUCAAUUUCGGCAUAGAACGCAUUUUAUGUAAAUGAAAGUUGUCCUCAAUCUAGAGGUUGUAUCUGGUAUCUCUGAUUGAUGUCCGGUGUGCCGUGAGCUAUGAACAAUAAACCAAUCAAGAGGCAGAAAAUGUCAAACGAUUUGUUUGUCCAUUGUGAGGCUUUGGCUCCUACUCCUUCUCUCCGGAGCGUGUUUACAUGGGCGAGGAACAUCAUUAAUGGGAUGCACAGAUAACGAUCUAAUGGUUGCGAUAGAGUCUAUCAGGCGGUCUUGUUUAAGCUGUAAAAUGUUCUAACCCAGGUGGGUCCUUAAAUAUUUGUGGAAGUAUAUUACAUUUCUGGAGUA